GACGAACGCUGGCGGCGUGCCUAACACAUGCAAGUCGAACGGGACUGAUUGAAGGAAGUUUUCGGAUGGAAUUUGAUUAGUUUAGUGGCGGACGGGUGGGUAACGCGUGAGGAACCUGCCUUUCAGAGGGGGAUAACGUCUGGAAACGGACGCUAAUACCGCAUGAUAUUUUAAAGCCGCAUGGUUUUAAAAUCAAAGGAGCAAUCCGCUGAGAGAUGGACUCGCGUCCGAUUAGCCAGUUGGCGGGGUAACGGCCCACCAAAGCAACGAUCGGUAGCCGGGCUGAGAGGCUGAACGGCCACAUUGGGACUGAGACACGGCCCAGACUCCUACGGGAGGCAGCAGUGGGGGAUAUUGCACAAUGGAGGAAACUCUGAUGCAGCAACGCCGCGUGAGGGAAGAAGGUUUUCGGAUUGUAAACCUCUGUCCUCAGGGACGAUAAUGACGGUACCUGAGGAGGAAGCUCCGGCUAACUACGUGCCAGCAGCCGCGGUAAUACGUAGGGAGCAAGCGUUGUCCGGAUUUACUGGGUGUAAAGGGUGCGUAGGCGGCUCUGCAAGUCAGGUGUGAAAACUAUGGGCUUAACCCAUAGACUGCAUUUGAAACUGUGGGGCUUGAGUGAAGUAGAGGCAGGCGGAAUUCCCGGUGUAGCGGUGAAAUGCGUAGAGAUCGGGAGGAACACCAGUGGCGAAGGCGGCCUGCUGGGCUUUAACUGACGCUGAGGCACGAAAGCAUGGGUAGCAAACAGGAUUAGAUACCCUGGUAGUCCAUGCCGUAACGAUGAUUACUAGGUGUGGGGGGUCUGACCCCUUCCGUGCCGGAGUUAACACAAUAAGUAAUCCACCUGGGAAGUACGAUCGCAAGAUUGAAACUCAAAGGAAUUGACGGGGGCCCGCACAAGCAGUGGAGUAUGUGGUUUAAUUCGAAGCGACGCGAAGAACCUUACCAGGUCUUGACAUCCAACUAACGAGGCAGAGAUGCGUCAGGUGCCCUUCGGGGAAAGUUGAGACAGGUGGUGCAUGGUUGUCGUCAGCUCGUGUCGUGAGAUGUUGGGUUAAGUCCCGCAACGAGCGCAACCCUUGUGAUUAGUUGCUACGCAAGAGCACUCUAAUCAGACUGCCGUUGACAAAACGGAGGAAGGUGGGGACGACGUCAAAUCAUCAUGCCCUUUAUGACCUGGGCUACACACGUACUACAAUGGCCAGUACAACGGGAAGCGAAACCGCGAGGCGGAGCAAAACCCGAAAAGUGGCCUCAGUUCGGAUCGCAGGCUGAAACCCGCCUGCGUGAAGCUGGAAUUGCUAGUAAUCGCGGAUCAUCAUGCCGCGGUGAAUACGUUCCCGGGCCUUGUACACACCGCCCGUCACACCAUGGGAGCCGGUAAUACCCGAAGUCGGUAGUCUAACCGCAAGGAGGACGCCGCCGAAGGUAGGAUUGGCGACUGGGGUGAAGUCGUAACAAGGUAGCCGUAUCGGAAGG
rnacentral:rRNA from 1 species